GAUGAACGCUGGCGGCGUGCCUAAUACAUGCCAGUCGAACGAAACUUCUUUAUCACCGAGUGCUUGCACUCACCGAUAAAGAGUUGAGUGGCGAACGGGUGAGUAACACGUUGGCAACCUGCCCAAAAGAGGGGGAUAACACUUUGAAACAGGUGCUAAUACCGCAUAACCAUAGUUACCGCAUGGUAACUAUGCAAAAGGUGGCUAUACUACCGCUUUUGGAUGGGCCCGCGGCGCAUUAGCUAGUUGGUAGGGUAAAGGCUUACCAAGGCAAUGAUGCGUAGCCGAACUGAGAGGUUGAUCGGCCACAUUGGGACUGAGACACGGCCCAAACUCCUACGGGAGGCAGCAGUAGGGAAUCUUCCACAAUGGGCGAAAGCCUGAUGGAGCAACGCCGCGUGGGUGAAGAAGGUCUUCGGAUCGUAAAACCCUGUUGUUAGAGAAGAAAGUGAGUGAGAGUAACUGUUCACGUUUCGACGGUAUCUAACCAGAAAGCCACUGCUAACUACGUG
rnacentral:rRNA from 1 species